AUACUUACCUAGAUGGGGUCGAUGGGAGAUUAACAAGGUCCAUGGCCUAGGUUGGUGACCUCCAUUGUACUUUGGUGGGGUGCCUGCCUAAGGUCCUGUAAUACCCCAAAAAAAUACAAAUCAAUAUUUGUGCCAUGUUUCAAGCUUAUGAAUUUUACAUC